AAGGUUCGAAUAGGGCUUUGGGCUGACGGUACCUUCAGAGGAAGCACCGGCUAAUUCCGUGCCAGCAGCCGCGGUAAUACGGAAGGUGCAAGCGUUAAUCGGAAUUACUGGGCGUAAAGCGCACGUAGGCUGCUUUUUUAAGUCGGAUGUGGAAAGCCCUCGGCCCAACCGGGGAACUGCAUUUCGAAACUGCAAGGCUGGAGUCCUUGGAGAGGGUGGCGGAUUUCCCGGUGUAGGAGUGAAAUCCCGUAACAUAUCGUGGAGGAACACCAGUGGCCGAAGGCCGGCCACCUGGUACCAGGGUAACUGAACGCCUUAGGGUGCCCAAAAUGUUUUGUGGGAAACCUAAACAAGGAAUUAGACUAACCCCUGGGUAACUCAACACCCGUCAAACUAAUAGAAUCCUUAGGUUUUCGGGGAAUUAUUCCUUCCUACCACCGCUUCUUAACCUCGAUUAAUCCUUCCCGACCCGGGGGAGGUACCUGUUCUGCAAAGGCUGUAAACUUCAAAGCAAUUUGACCGGGGGCCCCCCCCCACACCCGGGGCAAAAUUGGCGUUCUUAAUUCCGUUGCCCACCUCAACAACACCUUUACCUGGGGUUUUACAUCCUCUCCACACACUUUCCCAAAAAUAGGAAGAGGGUGGCCCCUUUCUGGGAAACACAUCAACCUGGUGCUAUUCUGGGCGCUCUUCCACCUCUGCCCCGUGGGGGUUUCUUGUUAUAUUUCCCUAAACAAAUCGAAUCCUUUCUUGUUUCCUUGUCUCUUUCCCUUAUGGUUCUGACUCUCCUCGUCAAUGGUUCUCCACUCGGUUGACAACAGGGACGAAAAUGUGGGUGAGUAGAUCUUACACUCUCAAUUGUCACUUCUACUCUAUGCGAGGAUUACACGCUCAGUAUCACAUGACGGGGUGCUAUCAUACAUGUGUGCUAUUCACCGUCAUGAGCGCACCUCUCUCUCUAUACAUAAUGUCGCCCACACUGUGAAGAUAUGUUCACGCUACAUCGGGACGCUAGAGAUGCUGACGAUCAUACAUCAUUGACAUCACAUAUGCUCGCGUGUUAUUCAUCGCGGCUCUCGCACUC
rnacentral:rRNA from 1 species